rnacentral:lncRNA from 1 species
GUGAGGAGUGAUGCUGAGUGUGUCAGCAGCCAGCUUUAGGGUUCCACAAUGGAAUCUUGUUGUGAUGAUGUGUGCUGUUUUUUAAGUCCUACUCAAGGCCCAUCAAGCUCCAUGUUACGGUUCUUGAAGAUCCCUACUGUCGUUUCCAGGCUUUGGAUGAGUCUGAAAGCAGGGAAGUAGAAGAUAAAGUUGGGGUUGGUUGGUACAGAAUUACAGAAUGCUAAGGAAAAUUAGGCUCAGGAUUCAAA